GACGAACGCUGGCGGCGUGCUUAACACAUGCAAGUCGAACGGAAAGGCCCUUCGGGGUGCUCGAGUGGCGAACGGGUGAGUAACACGUGGGUGAUCUGCCCUGCACUUUGGGAUAAGCCUGGGAAACUGGGUCUAAUACCGAAUAGGAUCAUGGCCUUCAUGGGUUGUGGUGGAAAGCUUUUGCGGUGUGGGAUGGGCCCGCGGCCUAUCAGCUUGUUGGUGGGGUAAUGGCCUACCAAGGCGACGACGGGUAGCCGGCCUGAGAGGGUGUCCGGCCACACUGGGACUGAGAUACGGCCCAGACUCCUACGGGAGGCAGCAGUGGGGAAUAUUGCACAAUGGGCGCAAGCCUGAUGCAGCGACGCCGCGUGAGGGAUGACGGCCUUCGGGUUGUAAACCUCUUUCAACUACGACGAAGCGCAAGUGACGGUAGUAGUAGAAGAAGGACCGGCCAACUACGUGCCAGCCGCCGCGGUAAUAC
rnacentral:rRNA from 1 species